rnacentral:rRNA from 1 species
AGCAGCCGCGGUAAUUCCAGCUCCAAUAGCGUAUAUUAAAGUUGUUGCAGUUAAAAAGCUCGUAGUUGAAUUUCGGGAUCAGUACGCUGGUCGUGCCUCCGGUAUGUACUGGUGUCACUGGUUCCUCCCUUCUGAAGAACCAUCAUGCUAUUCAUUUAGUGUGGUGGGAAAUCAGGACUGUUACUUUGAAAAAAAUUAGAGUGUUUAAAGCAGGCUCACGCUUGAAUACAUUAGCAUGGAAUAAAUGAAAUAAGGACGUUGAUCCUAUUUUGUUGGUUUCUAGGAUUGACGUAAUGAUUAAUAGGGAUAGUUGGGGGGCAUUAGUAUUCAAUUGUCAGAGGUGAAAUUCUUGGAUUUAUUGAAGACUAACUACUGCGAAAGCAUUUGCCAAGGAUGUUUUCAUUAAAUCAAAGAACGAAAGUUAGGGGAUCGAAGACGAAUCAGAUACCGUCGUAGUCUUAACCAUAAACUAAUGCCGACUAGGGAUCGGAUGAUGUUAAUUUUUAAUGACUCAUUC